CGGACGGGUGAGUAAUGUCUGGGAAACUGCCUGAUGGAGGGGGAUAACUACUGGAAACGGUAGCUAAUACCGCAUAACGUCGCAAGACCAAAGAGGGGGACCUUCGGGCCUCUUGCCAUCAGAUGCGCCCAGAUGGGAUUAGCUAGUAGGUGGGGUAACGGCUCACCUAGGCGACGAUCCCUAGCUGGUCUGAGAGGAUGACCAGCCACACUGGAACUGAGACACGGUCCAGACUCCUACGGGAGGCAGCAUG
rnacentral:rRNA from 1 species